AACGAACGCUGGCGGCAGGCUUAACACAUGCAAGUCGAACGCAUCCUUCGGGGUGAGUGGCAGACGGGUGAGUAACGCGUGGGAACGUGCCCUUCAGUUCGGGAUAACCCAGGGAAACUUGGGCUAAUACCGGAUACGUGCGAGAGCAGAAAGAUUUAUCGCUGAAGGAUCGGCCCGCGUCUGAUUAGCUAGUUGGUGGGGUAAUGGCCCACCAAGGCGACGAUCAGUAGCUGGUCUGAGAGGAUGAUCAGCCACAUUGGGACUGAGACACGGCCCAAACUCCUACGGGAGGCAGCAGUGGGGAAUAUUGGACAAUGGGCGCAAGCCUGAUGCAGCAACGCCGCGUGAGUGAUGAAGGCCUUAGGGUUGUAAAGCUCUUUCGUCCGGGACGAUAAUGACGGUACCGGAAGAAGAAGCCCCGGCUAACUUCGUGCCAGCAGCCGCCGUAA
rnacentral:rRNA from 1 species